CUACGGGAGGCAGCAGUAGGGAAUUUUCGUCAAUGGGCGCAAGCCUGAACGAGCAAUGCCGCGUGAACGAGGAAGGUCUUCGGAUCGUAGAGUUCUGUUGAAGGGGAAAAAGAGCGGAGAGAGGAAAUGGUCUCCGAUUGAUAUUACCCUUCGAGGAAGUCACGGCUAACUACGUGCCAGCAGCCGCGGUAAUACGUAGGUGGCGAGCGUUAUCCGGAAUGAUUGGGCGUAAAGGGUGCGUAGGCGGCCUGCUAAGUCUGGAGUGAAAGGUACCGGCUCAACCGGUACAGGCUCUGGAAACUGGG
rnacentral:rRNA from 1 species